rnacentral:rRNA from 1 species
GUCCUAGCUGUAAACGGUGCACGUUUGCUGUAAGAGGAAUCGACCCCUUUGUGGCGAAGCUAACGCGUUAAACGUGCCGCCUGGGGAGUACGGUCGCAAGAUUAAAACUCAAAGAAAUUGACGGGGCCUGCACAAGCGGUGGAGUAUGUGGCUUAAUUCGAUGCAACGCGAAGAACCUUACCUGGCCUUGACAUGUAGGUAGUAGAAGCCUGAAAAGGUAACGAGGUAGCAAUACCAGCUUACACAGGUGCUGCAUGGCUGUCGU